GGGAAAAUUGGCAGAUUUUUCAACGGUAAGGUCCGAUUACCCAAACAAACUACCUCUCAGGAAUGACUGAGAACAAGCCCCGGACGACCAGAACUGCAGACAGUACUCCAGAAGAGGCCUUACCAAUGUCCCGUACAACCUCAACAUGACAUCCCAACUCUUUUGCUCAGAGCAAUGAGCAAUUUGAGCAAUGAAGGCAAGUGUGCCAAAUGCCAUCUUAACCACCCUGUCUACCUCAUCUCGGCUCCAGAACAUCUCCACAGGAGUUCUACAGGAUACUGUACUUAGCCCAACCAUCUUCAAGUGCUUCAUCAAUUACCUUCUCACCGUUAUAAGACGGAAACUAUUCCGGUUCCAGAAGAUGAAGGUUUGGCAGCUCGACCAAGCAUAGAGCAAUGAGCAAAUAUUCCGCAGCAUCUGUCACUUAACCACCGAGGGGAAAAGGGUGCAUUGGAAAACUGUUACUCUAUUUUGACCGGGCUGAGGAGAGAGAGAGCCAAGAGGAGAAGGAGAGCCAAGAUGACGGAGUAUAAAAAGCUGUAAUUUGGACCACAUAUUUAUCAAGUAUGAAAAUGAAUUACCUUUAAAGUACAAAUUAACAAUUGCUACAUCUCAGUUCAACAAGUCUACAGGGCUCUGUCUGGCAGACUAUUUGGACAUCACUUAAGGUCAGAAGAUGCUUGUGGUUACUGUGGCCUGAAUAGUUCUGAUCUCAGCUUUAAAAUCCUUAUUAUUGUGCAAGAAGUGUUUGUUAAAAGCUCUACACAACACAAGAAAAAU